AGAGCGAACGCUGGCGGCAUGCUUAACACAUGCAAGUCGCACGGUCAGCAAUGGCAGUGGCGGACGGGUGAGUAACGCGUAGGAAUCUAUCCAGAGGUGGGGGACAACAGUGGGAAACUACUGCUAAUACCGCAUGUUACCUGAGGGUUAAAGGUUGAUCGCAAGAUGGAUCGCCUUUGGAGGAGCCUGCGUCUGAUUAGCUUGUUGGUGGGGUAAAGGCCUACCAAGGCGACGAUCAGUAGCUGGUCUGAGAGGAUGAUCAGCCACAUUGGGACUGAGACACGGCCCAAACUCCUACGGGAGGCAGCAGUGGGGAAUAUUGGACAAUGGGCGCAAGCCUGAUCCAGCAAUGCCGCGUGUGUGAAGAAGGUCUUCGGAUUGUAAAGCACUUUUUGGCAGGGACGAUGAUGACGGUACCUGCAGAAUAAGCCCCGGCUAACUUCGCGCCAGCAGCCGC
rnacentral:rRNA from 1 species